rnacentral:rRNA from 1 species
UCGAGCGGCAGCGAGAGUAGUACAUACUACUUGUCGGCGAGCGGCGGACGGGUGAGGAACACGUAGGAACUUGCCUUUUAGCGGGGGACAACCAAGGGAAACUUCGGCUAAUACCGCGUAAUCUCGAGAGAGUAAAGCUGCCCGCAAGGGUGGCGCUAAAAGAGAGGCCUGCGUCCGAUUAGCUAGUUGGUGGGGUAAUGGCUCACCAAGGCAAUGAUCGGUAACUGGUCUGAGAGGACGACCAGUCACACUGGGACUGAGACACGGCCCAGACUCCUACGGGAGGCAGCAGUGGGGAAUAUUGGACAAUGGGGGCAACCCUGAUCCAGCGAUGCCGCGUGGGUGAAGAAGGCCUUCGGGUUGUAAAGCCCUUUAGAUUGGGAAGAAGUAUGGGAGUUUAAGAGAUACUCAUAUUGACGGUACCGAUAGAAUAAGCACCGGCAAACUCUGUGCCAGCAGCCGCGGUAAUACAGAGGGUGCGAGCGUUAAUCGGAGUUACUGGGCGUAAAGGGCGCGUAGGCGGUUGUGUGAGUGUGAUGUGAAAGCCCUGGGCUUAACCUAGGAAGUGCAUCGCAAACGACAUAACUGGAGUAUAUGAGAGGGUGGUGGAAUUUCCGGUGUAGCGGUGAAAUGCGUANAGAUCGGAAGGAACGU